UGAAUGAGUACGAUAUUAGUGAUGGCUGAAUCAUCACUGCAGCAUUUGUGAUGUUCUCCCUAUUUAACAACAUCCUAAAAUAUGCAGUUUCAUCUGGACUGUUGUUAAAAACCUGUACAAAUUGUGAACGCCGCAAAUUAAACAUGAACUGAGGAUACAAAGAAAAGCAAGGAUUUAAAGUAAAGGAAGAAGGAUCAUCUUUCCGAUAAUCACCAAACUUAGAACAGAGACGAAUCAAGGAUCGAUCCAACCACCGAAUAGCAUCGAACCCCUCCUCCAUCUCCAUUUUCAAGGAAGUUAAUCUUGCCACAACAACUGCAG
rnacentral:misc_RNA from 1 species